rnacentral:tRNA from 1 species
GCCACCUUAGCUCAGUGGUAGAGCACCCGCCUUGUAAGCGGGCGGUCGUCAGUUCAAGUCUGACAGGUGGCU